rnacentral:rRNA from 1 species
GACGAACGCUGGCGGCGUGCUUAACACAUGCAAGUCGAACGGAAAGGCCCUGCUUGCAGGGUGCUCGAGUGGCGAACGGGUGAGUAACACGUGGGUGAUCUGCCCCUUACUUUGGGAUAAGCCUGGGAAACUGGGUCUAAUACUGGAUAGGACCAUGCUGUAGGUGGUGUGGUGGAAAGAUUUUUUCGGUAAGGGAUGAGCUCGCGGCCUAUCAGCUUGUUGGUGGGGUAAUGGCCUACCAAGGCGUCGACGGGUAGCCGGCCUGGGAGGGUGGACGGCAACAUUGGGACUGAGAUACGGCCCAGACUCCUACGGGAGGCAGCAGUGGGGAAUAUUGCACAAUGGGCGCAAGCCUGAUGCAGCGACGCCGCGUGGGGGAUGACGGCCUUCGGGUUGUAAACUCCUUUCAGCCAUGACGAAGCCUCUUUUGGGGUGACGGUAGUGGUAGAAGAAGCACCGGCUAACUACGUG